ACUAAUAUAAUUUUUUGUCAUUUAUAUCCAUUCUCCAAUAGUACCAAAAGUUUUCGUUUUGGCGUAUCCAUUCUACAAAUAAUACCAAAAAAUUUUGGUAACGGAUAAAAUUCUGCAAAGAAUAUCUUUAAAUAGUUGUCUAUCUAUGUCACUGUUUUCAUUGUCACUCACAAUCAUCUUUCUAUUCACACUAUGCCUCCCCAGGAUAGUGAGGGCUUUCAAAAGUUUAUUUUACUAAGCACAAGUUUUUAU
rnacentral:lncRNA from 1 species